UAUGUAUUUAUUUAUUUUCCUUCACUUCCACCGCAGGCAAGAUCAUCUGGUUCAUUUUCUUCUUUAGGCUUAUUCCCUUAACACAAUCCUUUCUAGUUCCAUCUGUGUCAGAGAGAGAGAGAGAGAGAGAGAGAGAGAGAGAGAAAGAGAGAGAUCUCCAAACUCCUGAACAAUCUCCCUCCCGCACGCAGUCUUCCUUUAUGACUUUCCUGCUUUUUUUUUUUUUUUUUGUGAGCAGCUAUGGUGAUCUGUCUCUCGCAAUCCUUUCUCAGAAGCCUUUAAUAAAUCACUUUUAUUUCUUCAUCAGUUAAACCUUGCAAAAAAAAUUUUUUUUUUACCCCGGAGCCAAAUACAUGGUAUCAAGAGUUUUUGAGAUGCUAAGAGAAAUAAUGGUACUCAUACAGGGUGGGGGAAAACCUCCUAUUGGACAUACAGACGUCUGCAGCGAGAGGUGAUUCAUGACAAGCCUUCCAGGGAAUGACUGUCUGUGUCAGAAGGCAGAGGACUGCCAUGACACCAGGGCUAGUGAGGUCAGAGUGCCAGCAACCCGUUAAAAACUGGGCAUUUGUAAACAGACGAGGAAUCUGAUUUAAAAGAAUGUCCACGGGAAUACUUUAUCUGUAAUUAAAAAUCUGCCCGAGAGAGAGAAGCAAUUUUUAAACCUGUUUAAGGACAUUGUAUAGAACCAGAACGCAGCUCAAGAUAUCUUCCAUGGGCUUCCCGUAAGCUUCUGCAGAAGAGCACGCCGGGCACAUCUGGAACUCCAGGAAGAGGAAGGUGCCGUCCCUGAUCCUGAAAUGUCCAGCCUGGAAGGCGUAGCCGACUGUCAGCAUGGCCAACGUUCGGGAUUGUGAAGUAGGAAAGCGUGGUUGGGAAGAGGAUUUCGGCUACCAUCCCUUCACAAGGAGGGGAGGCAGAGCUCAGGGGCAGGGGUGCAGGGAGGAGGGAGGUUUGAGAAUAAGUCGGUGGGAGGCUGGGCGGUGGGGCACUGGGUUAAGCGCACGUGGCGCGAAGCACAAGGACCCACACAAAGAUCUCGGUUCGAGCCCGCCGGCUGGCUCCCCACCUGCAGGGGGGUCGCUUCACAAGCGAUGAAACAGGUCUGCAGGUGUCUAUCUCUCUCUUCCCCUUACUAUCUUUCCCUCCUCUCUCAAUUUCCCUGUGUCCUGUCCAAUA